UACGGAGGGGGCAAGCGUUGUUCGGAAUUACUGGGCGUAAAGGGCGCGUAGGCGGCCUGUUAAGUCGAACGUGAAAUCCCCGGGCUCAACCCGGGAACUGCGUCCGAUACUGGCAGGCUUGAAUCCGGGAGAGGGAUGCGGAAUUCCAGGUGUAGCGGUGAAAUGCGUAGAUAUCUGGAGGAACACCGGUGGCGAAGGCGGCAUCCUGGACCGGUAUUGACGCUGAGGCGCGAAAGCCAGGGGAGCAAAGCGGG
rnacentral:rRNA from 1 species